rnacentral:rRNA from 1 species
UACGUAGGGGGCUAGCGUUGUCCGGAUCUAUUGGGCGUAAAGAGCGUGUAGGCGGCCAGGUAGGUCUGCUGUGAAAACUCGAGGCUCAACCUCGAGAUGUCGGCGGAAACCAUCUGGCUAGAGUCCGGAAGAGGAGAGUGGAAUUCCUGGUGUGGCGGUGAAAUGCGCAGAUAUCAGGAAGAACACCCGUGGCGAAGGCGGCUCUCUGGGACGGUACUGACGCUGAGACGCGAAAGCGUGGGGAGCGAACAGG